UUGAAUAAACCUGAUGUGACUGUUAGCUGGCUUUUUGAAGCAUGUGCUCGUCCAUCAUCUUUAUCUCUCCACCUGUGCACAUUUUGUAGUCUUGGAUACCUCUCGAGCCAACUCGGAUUUUAGGAUCGCGUCAGCUUUCCUUUCAUUUCCAAGACUAUGUUUUUAUAUACACCAAAGUAUGUUUAAAAGAAUGUCAUCAAUAGGAACUUGUGUCCUAUAAAAUUAUA
rnacentral:misc_RNA from 1 species